AAAGUGACGAUAUCUGUAGUGAAUUGUCCGAGGAAUUUUUUGGAAUAUGUAUAGAAUAUGUUCGGAAAUGAGGUUAAUCAGUCCAAAACUAGCGCAAUUUUUUGUGCGCCGUAAAUUGCAGUUGUUUUUUUUUUUUUUUUACUAUGGGAGGCACUAUAGCUCCCAGGUCGUCCAUCCGAUUUUUUUCAGACCAGGAGCUACAGACCUGCAGUUAACCUGGGGCACACUCUCUCCAAAUAUAGUGCGUAACCAGAGCGCCUUUUACUCGACUAUCUAGGCAGGUGCCUAUAGACUGACUGAGUGGCUAGGAUCAGGUAGCGCUCUGACCGCGCACUGUGGGAUAACGGUUUAGAGUUAAAAACUGAAGAAAAAAAACUCUGGCUUAAUAGGGCAGAGUUCAAGCGCCAAAACUGAAUUCCUUUGUUCUAUGUAUAUUUGUACUUAAUUCCUCAUAUUGGGCAGAAAUGCCUUCCUCAAGUCCGUGAGGCGGUAAUCAUGUGAGGUUGCGGAGAAUCCGUGGAUGAUGACAACCGUCAUUCUCCUGGAAUCAAAACCUGACGAAGAAAUGGCGAUGCGGUUGUAGGGAAAAAGUUCCUCGUCCACGCUGAUAUUCUGCUGAGUGAAAAGAUAAAAUCGCGGUUUGAUUUUUGCUGGGGAGUCUGCGAGCCUCGCAGCUGUUUUCGUAGGUCCUUCUGUCAUCUCCACAGACCGGGCGAUAUAUUUGUGGGCAAUCGCAAUUGUCAAUGCAGGGACACCGCUGUUCACACCUCACGGAUAUACCCCUGAAAGCGAAAGAGAGAAAUAAAAAGACUGAUCAUUUACCUGCACUGAGCGAAGCACUGGUUGUCGUAGGUUUGUUCGUCCGUGCCACAGACUGGUGAGUAGUGGACAGGGCACCUGUCACACGCACUGUUGGAGGAGCAGGGACAGCGCUUGUAGCAUUGCA